GUGAUAUUCCCAAACAUUAAAUUUUAAUAGAACGAACAUUCAAUUGGAGACGGACGAGGCUAGUGUAAAUCAGGAAUGCAAAUGAUGUCACGUGCAAAUUAUGCAAUUUAAAUAGCGUCAAAGCAGAGUCAAAGUAGUACACAGAUCUAUUUAGCCAGGCUUUUGAUACUAUAGAUCCUUGUACCACAGUGUGUUGUGCUACAACUUGUGGAUUAGCAUGGAACAGCUGAGAACGAAGAAAUUGUGGCAGUCCUUCUUUGAACUGAGGAGUAGCAGCGAUUUUAAGACAGCUUGCACAAGUCUGACAACUACUCCAUGACUGUCUCAAUUCAACUGGUGCCCUCUGCCAUUAUCUGUCUUGUAUAUAUUGUACAGGUUAUCAAAAGCCUUGGGCAACCAAUAACAAACUGACUUUUGCUGCCAGUUCUCGCAUCAUAUAAAAACUAAAACACAGCUAAUCUUUGCUGGUCUCUUAGAUGACUAUAUCCUAGCUGAAUGCCUGAUGUUAUCCACUCUCAAACUGUAGCUAAGAAGCCCGCGAGCACUUUUGCAGGCUACGCAAUUCUACUUAACCUCACGCAAUUUUUGGAUCACGUGGAAAAACCAAUGAAUAAUCUCUACCCAAAUUCCGGGGUUGUGAUAAAACAGGGAAUGAGAAAUGAGGAAAUAAGAAAUAGGAAAUGAGGAAAUGAAGAAAUAAGAAAUAGAAUAAUAAUAAUUUAUGGUUAGGCCACUCCAAAUGAGACUGUAGUUUCCCGUCCAACUCGCGCUUCCUGCUUUAGCUACCGCAUUAAAAAUUGUACUAUUUCUACGUUUAAAAUUGCGUGGCAUAUUGGCUGUGAAAACUACCAGUAGAUCUACAUGUGAUUGACGUUGUAACGGAUUGGAGUUAUGCUCUCGUCUGAUUUCUUGUUUCCACGCUUUUUUGUGGUUCCCCUGGCCAAUCCUAGCAAUUUUUCACAUUGCAAAUGUUUUUCUAGUUGGAUUUAUAUAUAGGAGUGUACAGCAUCCCAACAUACUCUCACUAUAAUAAUAUUGGGAGUUAUUAUCCGAAAUACAUGAACACAAUUUUAGUCGUGUUUCCUAUUUUAUAUAAUUAUAAUUAUAUAGGAGUGUACAGCAUCCCAACAUAUUCUGACUGUACUGGGAGUUAUUAUCCAAGAGACGAGGCUCCUAAUCAUCACCAACUUAGUCAAUGGCAAAAAUCUGCAUAUGCAAAUUUUUGACUCAUCAAGAGUUGAGGAUGGUACAUUCCAUGCAUACCUCUCCGACUUUGGAAUUGCACAGAUUUUGAGUACCACAAAAGUUAUUGGUAUACUAGUACUCUAUACAGCAAGGUACGCCUGCAUACCAGAGUCCAGAACAUAUUCGGGCUGAGAAAGGAAUCACAACAUCAACUGACGUGUACUCCUUUGGUGUGUUGCUGUGUUGCUACUAUAGAGAUGUUUGGAGAGCAACUAGCAUGGAAAAGUCUAACACCAGUUCAAAUAUCGUACCGAGUGGCCCAUAUGAAUGAGUACCUGUCCACUGAUAAUUUGAAGGAUCCGCGGAUCAAAGAGCUAUGUUCGUUGUGUUUUAGGCCAAAAGAAUCGCGGGAGUCUAUUGCUAUAGCAAUAGACUACAUAUAUAUACAUUAUACACCGCAACACAAAUUAUGGAAGAUUGCCCUGUCACUGUACAUGCAGGGUAAUUAGGGUUAGGGUUAGCCUGUAGGACACACAAUAUAACUGUACACUUUGAUGACUCAUUCAUAUAAUUAUGUCAUGCGUUCAGUUCAUUAAUUUUAUACUUUAAUGACAUUGACCAUUAAUCACUUUUCAUGUCAUGCAUUGGUUUACAUAGCUAAAAUAUUACUCAUUUUCUAAAAUUGUCCACAAAUUAACAGUUAUAUAAAACUUGAUUGCUUCUUUUA